GAAUGGGAACAGAACACUGAAGGAAAUCUUGCAGCUGUUGCUCAUCCUCAUGAUGAGCCUGGAAGAGAAGGUGAUGUCAGCUGAAGUGUGCACAGCUGGAGACGCACUGUGCAUGCGCCUUUGAAAUAGUCGAAAUCAUCAUGAGCAUGACUGGAAGAAAAAGCUGGAUAAAAAAGAAUUUCAAUGAAGACCAUUGUGGACAGACUACUCCAACAUUGCUAGGCGGCACAGAAAUUUGGUACUCUCAGAGGUUAGAAGACAACGUUGAAUGCCCUGAAGGUAGACUUAUAGGCACUUCUGAUGGAUCUGCCUGCUAUGACUGCUGAAAACUCUGGCCCUCUAAGAGCAGCAAGCACCCUUCACUAUGGAGGCAUGAAGUGGAAGUUACUGGUUGUGUCAUGUGACACAGUCUCACAUGAUGUUUUGCUGAUGUAAGACCAGUGAGAGGACAUGUGAUGUUUGGAGAGAGUAUAAAUAGGACCCAACAGAUAGUGACUUCAUGCUUGCAUUCCUUGCCAUAUUUUAUUGGUCAUUUUUCUUCCCUGAUCUUCACUUCCUUGAGAGAGGCACAAAAGAAAACUUCUCCUGGAGUCCCAGCUGGUUCUGGUCACUCCUGCUAACUCCUGAUUUGGCAGAGGCCUGGCUGUCUUUUCUGGAUCACGUCACUGCUGCUGAGUUUUUGGUACCUGACACUACUGAACUGGGCAGCUGGUAUCCCGAGGAAUGGAGAUUGGAAUCACCACAAAGAACUACUUCUAAACAGGUCCACAUCCCCUUGUCCUAUUUACCAUCUUUCCUCUUCUACCUUUGAGUGGUAGGUUAGAAAGGAGGUUGAAGCAUUUGAGAACCAUUAUUAAAGUAGGUUUUGAAAAAUCUAAGCUUACAGAGGCAUGGUUACAGUUCC
rnacentral:lncRNA from 1 species